GUCCUAUUUGUGUUAAAACCAUUACUCAUAUAUAACAGUGCAUUAGUAUUAGCUGUAGCCAGCCACCACCCCCUUCCCUUCUGCAGGGAGCAAUAAAUUGGCAAAGGGCAGGAGGGGAAGGAGCAGCCAAUGUGAUCCCUACAACCGCAACCCACUGUGCACCUGACCCAGGGCUCUCAUGUUGCCUAGGAAGUGAGUGACCUCCCCUAGGGCACCUUGGCCACUUCAGGAAGGAAGAGCAGAUUUUAAUAUGGGGCACAGCUUACGUCAUAUUUGUUGGUACAUCCCAGGGCAUCCUGGAUUUGUCAGAGGAAAAACCAAGUAAGACCAGAGGGGAAAACGACACAAGAUAACAGAAUUUUAGAAAUCACACACAUUGAUGAGUACGUGUAUAUACAUUUUUUUCUUUUUGAUGGUGGGCAGACAGGGAAUCAACACUUAAGGGAUUAAUAAUUUAAAUAAUAACACAAAUGGAAAACGCUGAAAUGAUAAAAACAAAAAUUCCAAAGCGGAGACCUGGGAGAGGGCAGGGCCUGAGUGGUGAGGGGAGCUCCCUUCCUCAGCAGACCUUGCCGAGGCCUGCAUUUUCUCCCUGCUACCGGAGGCAGAUCUGGGAACCUCCACAGCCGCCCUCUGUGACCUCCUCAGCCCCAGGAGGGGACAGCACAGCCGGUGGCCACUGCCGUUUCUACACUUGCUAAGGAAACAAAUGCCCUGCCUGGUGCUCUUGCCUUAAGUAUUCUGCGUUCCAUUGCUAAAGUUGCCCAGAGGUGAACUGGUAUCCUCCACCACAUGCUCCUGCCAUGAUGUGCUGUGCUGCCACAGGCCCAAAGCAACAGGGCCCAUUAGUCACGGAUUGAAACCUCUGAGGUUGUGUCAUCUUUGUGGUCACAGGAUAUGUAUUAUUUGGUAAGUUCAGUUUGCAGUAAUUUAUGGUGGUUUUUUUUCUUACUGGAAUUUAGGAAAGAUUUUGUAAUGCAGCAAUGAUAUUGGGUUCAGAAAAAAUAA
ensembl:lncRNA